UGGCUGUGGUUGUGUGAGGACUGCCUGA
rnacentral:piRNA from 1 species